CAAUAGCGUAUAUUAAAGUUGUUGCAGUUAAAAAGCUCGUAGUUGGAUUUGUGGCGUACGGUGUGUUCCGGGCACUUGUUGUCUGAGUAACCUGCUGUUGCCAUCCUUGGGUGGAACCUGUGUGGCAUUGGGUUGUCGUGCAGGGGAUGCCCAUCAUUUACUGUGAAAAAAUUAGAGUGUUCAAAGCAGGCUUAUGCCGUUGAAUAUAUUAGCAUGGAAUAAUGAGAUAGGACUUUUUUGCUAUUUUGUUGGUUUGCGCAAAGAGGUAAUGAUUAAUAGGGACAGUUGGGGGUAUUCGUAUUCCAUAGUCAGAGGUGAAAUUCUUGGAUUUUUGGAAGACGAACUACUGCGAAAGCAUUUACCAAGGAUGUUUUCAUUAA
rnacentral:rRNA from 1 species